GAUGAACGCUAGCGGCAGGCCUAACACAUGCAAGUCGAGGGGUAGAAGGAGCUUGCUCCUUUGAGACCGGCGCACGGGUGCGUAACGCGUAUGCAAUCUACCUUUUACAGAGGGAUAGCCCAGAGAAAUUUGGAUUAAUACCUCAUAGUAUAUAUCAUUCGCAUGUUUGGUAUAUUAAAGUUCCAACGGUAAAAGAUGAGCAUGCGUCCCAUUAGUUAGUUGGUAAGGUAACGGCUUACCAAGACGAUGAUGGGUAGGGGUCCUGAGAGGGAGAUCCCCCACACGGGUACUGAGACACGGACCAGACUCCUACGGGAGGAAGCAGUGAGGAAUAUUGGUCAAUGGACGCAAGUCUGAACCAGCCAUGCCGCGUGCAGGAAGACGGUCCUAUGGAUUGUAAACUGCUUUUGUACGGGAAGAAACACUCCUACGUGUAGGAGCCUGACGGUACCGUAAGAAUAAGGAUCGGCUAACUCCGUGCCAGCAGCCGCCGUAAGAC
rnacentral:rRNA from 1 species